rnacentral:lncRNA from 1 species
ACAAGUCAAAAUUUUCAUUAAGAACUCAGUAGUCUUUCACAGAAGGGAAUCUGAGAAUUCUUCCACUCAUGAGUAAUGUGUUAAAGAAUGAGAAAAGAGCAUGUUUUCCUUGGCUUUUGGAUUAAUACAAUAAAGCCUGUGAAGUUUAACAUAAUUAAAUUAAUGUUGAUAUGCAGUGUGACUUGUUCACAGAGAAAUGGUAUUUGACUUAGAGCUAAUGCCACAUCACAGCUGACAUACAUCCAUCUGCAAAUGUUGUAUAGAAAGUCUUCUAAGAUCUUCAGAUGGAAGUUCUGUCAAGUAUGUUGGUGGCUCUAAAAAAAGUGGGGUGGAGAAAAGCAGAGAAAGAAGACACAAAGAAAAAACAAAACCUCCAGAAACCUACUAUGUGAAGCAUAUGGCCAAAGUAAGUAAACUAGCCUUG